rnacentral:tRNA from 1 species
GGUGCUGUAGAUUAGUGUUAGUCUGCACUAACACUGUCUUGUAAACAGGAGAUCUUGGGUUCAAAUCCUAGCAGUGCCU